AAGCCUAGAAGGGGCCGUUAACUGACCUCGCUCUCCCGCAGCUUCUGAAGCUUUCCCGCUCAAAGUAAACCUGUUCGGGAUUGGCUCUGAUUGGCAAGCAACAGCUCUAUGAUUGGCUAAUAGGGCAGCGGAGGGGCGGGGCGUGGAAGAUAAGGAAAGAGAGCAGGCCUACCCCGUGGGAGAAGCGGUGGAGGUGGUCGGAAGAUUUGAGAAGUCGCUCAGCAACUGGCUGAUAAUCUAAACCUAUCGCUGCGCACCUUGUGCCAACAUUUCAUUUUUGGCCCUUGGGCCCUUCCCUAACUCCCAGAGUCCUUUGGAACAGCCAAGAGAAUAAUAGACGUGCCCGUUUACAGAAGAACUGCACAAGGAACUAUGGACCCAGCAAAAGGAACAGAGAGAUGCUCAGUAGCUUCUUUCUCCAAAUGCGGGGCCUUCCUUCUUAAGGACGAGAGAACGUCAGAUUGAUAGCUCCACCAAACUGAGAGGUUUUACACAGGCGGCUGCUCACAACACUCUAUUCAUCAUCCAGGUCUCCGCUUAGAUAUUGUUUCCUCCAGGAAGUCUUCCGUGGUCCAUAAAGUUGGGGUUUGACGCCUCUUCUGUGAAUUCCCAUAGCACCCUAGACUUGACUAGCACUGUGCUCAUCACGCUGUGUUGUAAUUACCUGGGGUUUCACCUCGCCCUCCCACUAGAACAUACCCUUCCAAAGGAACAGGAACCAAAUCUGCAUUGCUCACUGCUGCUUCCCUGGCACCUUUGCAAAGGUACUUUCUACGUACUGAUGGAAGAAAGGAAGGGAAGAAGGGAAGAAGAAAGAAGAGGAGAGGGAAAGAGAAGGAUAGGAAGUUGGUUUAAAAGCUGGAACAGCUCAGGAUAAGACCAGGAUUCAACUAUGCGGAUGGACCUCAUAGCCAUUAGAUACAAACAAGGGAAUAUUAUAUUAUUUCAUUGCUAGAAGUUCUUGAACAGACACAAGUAAUUGAUUGUGAUAGAAGCCAGAAUAGUGGUUGCCUCUAGAGCAGAACUCACUGGAAGAAAGUGUCCUAUAUCUUAAAUAGUGUUUAUGUGAGUGUUGACACACGUAAAAAUUCAUUAAUCUAUACUUAACAUGCACUUUGUGCAUUUCACUCUAGGUUAUAUCUCAGUAAGAAAAUAGAAAGGGAAGGAAGGGAGGGAGGGAGGAAAAAAGGGAGGAAGGAAUAAUGUGGGCAGAUAGUCACAUAAAUUGCCUAGUUGGUAACAGUGAUAAAGGAGUUAUCAUCUAGGAUUAUGACACAGAAGUGGGAUCUGGGAUCUGGGCAGAAAAAGGUGUGUGUGUGUGUAUGUGUGUGUGUGUGUGUGUGUGUGUGUGUGUGUGUGUGUGUGUACACAUUAUGUGCUUGCAAGUGAGGAGCCUGGUUUCCACUGAAGGAAGGAAAGUAAUCCAAAAAAUGUUCCCAUCUCUUCUUCACACAUCUAUCUGUCCCCUCUCUCUCCAAAGCCUCCAGUGGUUUUUUAUAACUACAGCAUAAAGUCCGGGCUCCUUGACCUGGCAUUAAAACAUUCCACUAUCUGCCCCCUGCCUACCUCCGCUUCUAGACUUCUCUCUUUUGCCUGGUGCCUCUCUCCCCAAAUCUACCAUACUUUGCUGCUCUCAUGCACUCCUUACCUGUGUCGGUUCACCAAUCCAUUGAGAGGUCGGCUAUCAUUGCCCUUUGCUUGUGACACUCCUACUCACCGUCAUGGGAUUCACUGCUCCUCCAUCUUUCCUUUCAUGGCACUUUGCUUGUAGCCAAAUAGCAUGUAACUUGACCUCUUGCAGAUCACAGCUAUUUAUAUAUAUGUUUCUCUUCUUGUCCAGAAUGUCUCACAUGGGUGUAGGCAGGCCGCCAUCCCUCAGAUUGAUUGACUGAUAAACCCUCCAGAAGGCAGGGACAAGAUCAGUGCUCAAACCUACAGCUCAAGCUCUCAACUCCUGUCUGAAUGUCAGAACCACAUCUCCAAAUGCUUACCAGAUAUCUUCUGCUUGAAGUAAAUGCGUUCAAAACUGAGUUUAUUACCUUCUUGUAAUAAACAGAGAAAAUCAUGCUCACCAAGUAUUCUAUGUGCUCCCCUCUACUUUCCAAACUUCUGUAGUUAGGAGAGGCCAUAAGACUGGUUCUGGCCAAUGAAAUGUGCAUGGAAGCAACGUACAUCAUGUCUGGGCUGGGGUAAUAAAAAGCCCUGUACACAA